ensembl:misc_RNA Metazoa_SRP Metazoan signal recognition particle RNA
GCCGGGUGUAGUAGCUUACACCUGUAAUCCCAGCACUUUGGGAGGCUGAGGCAGGAGGCUCACUUGAGGUCAGGAGUUCAAGACCAGCCUGGCCAACAUGGUGAAACCCUGUCUCUA